AUACGUCAUCUUCUUAUCUUGAUAGAGAUGGCUUUACCCCGUCAGAUAUUUAUUCUAAUAUCUGGAGCACGGAAUAUAGAAAAGAAAUAGAUUCUAAAGUAUUAGAACUAUGAUUCAUACUUAAUAUUUAUAUUUAGACCUCGCAACCGGACGAAAAAAAAUUAAAGAGUUAGAAUAAUCAAUUUCAAAAAAAAAAAAUUAAAUAAGUGAUGAUCCAGCAGUUCUUACUCAGGGAAUUUUUGGACUUGGAUUAAAGGUUUUUUUGGAAAUCAUCGUGGUUCUGGUAUGAAUCUGAGGUUUUUGAAUUGAUUCUAUAGGGUCUUAACAAGAAAAUUCCUAUCAAUAAUAAUAAAAAAAAAACAGUAAAAUCGUAUUAAAUACAGACAAAAAAAAUGAGGUGAAUAAUAGAAUAUUCAAGAGGCCGGUAAGGAUCAAGAGAAAAGACGAGUGAGCCGACUUGAAAUUUGGCAUUAUAAACAAACACAAAGAAUACCUUUUGGAUUUCCAUUUUUUUUAUCUUCAAAAAAGAUUGGAAUCAUAGGAUUAAGUUAAGAAGUUUAAAACUUUCUAUUCCACAUAUCUGUUUUCCAAAUAACUGGUAUUUUUGUUUGAGCCGUACGAGAUGAAAUUCUCAUAUACGGUUCUCAGGGGGGUCCUUUGUUUACCUAUCUCAAUAAAGUCUAUGAUUGGUUCGAAGAACGUCUUGAGAUUCAGGCGAUUGCCGAUGAUAUAACUAGUAAAUAUGUUCCUCCUCAUGUCAAUAUAUUUUAUUGUUUAGGAGGAAUUACACUUACUUGUUUUUUAGUCCAAGUAGCGACGGGUUUUGCUAUGACUUUUUAUUAUCGUCCGACCGUUACGGAAGCUUUUGCUUCUGUUCAAUAUAUAAUGACUGAGGCUAACUUGUUGGUUAAUCCGAUCAGUUCAUCGAUGGUCGGCAAGUAUGAUGGUCUUAAUGAUGAUCUUGCACGUAUUUCGCGUGUAUCUCACCGGUGGUUUUAAAAAACCUCGCGAACUGACUUGGGUUACGGGUGUAGUUUUGGGUGUAUUGACUGCAUCCUUUGGUGUAACCGGUUAUUCCUUACCUUGGGACCAAAUUGGUUAUUGGGCAGUAAAAAUUGUAACAGGUGUACCCGACGCUAUUCCUGUAAUAGGAUCGUCGGUGGUAGAGUUAUUGCGCGGAAGCGCUAGUGUGGGACAAUCUACCUUGACUCGUUUUUAUAGUUUACAUACUUUUGUAUUACCUCUUCUUACUGCCGUAUUCAUGUUAAUGCACUUUCCAAUGAUACGUAAGCAAGGCAUUUCCGGUCCUUUAUAGAAUAAAAAAAAAAGAAAAAAAACAUAAAUUAAUCAAAUCAAUCAUUUUGGGGAGGAGAAUAGUAUUUCAUUGCUACAAAUAUGCAUUAUUCAAAAAAAAAAUAAGACAUGUAUUUGGAUAUUUCCCUUCAACUUAACAAAAUAAAUUGCAUUCUUUAUUUGAUAUACACGAAUAGUUGAAUGGAACUCUCCGAAAAAAUAAUGGAUUAUGGGAGU